CAAAAAACACAUAUGUAUAUGUGUAUGUCUGCUUACGGACUCCCUGGAUUUUCUACUUGGAAGUAGUACCGAGGAAGAUCUAACACAGAAUUGUAAAGGAUAAGAAUAGAAAAUUGUCCUUCAUUUGUUGCUAAGCCCUGUUUGGGAGAAUCUGCCCUUCCCAUUGGUGGCAUAGCUGACAACCUAGGAGUGCGUCUAGAGGAUGGCUUCCCUCAAAGACGGGGACCAAAAAGUUGUGUCAAGCAUGAAACGGUCAAGAAAUUGCCAUUGUUGUGAAAACUUCAACUCAAUAAUUCAGAGAUACAGAAAAUUGGCACAAGAAUGUUAUUUCUUCGUUUGGACAAAAAUCUCUGAACUUUCUGAGGUUCACCCAUCAUUGUUGUAAAACUCUAAAGAUCAAGUUUACUUUGGAAGUUCUGCUACAACCUCAAGUAUCAUGUUAGCCAUAGCAUGGCAGUGGGGAAAACGGAAAAGAGCAGCCCACUAUUUCCAAGAACCUCUAUUAUUUUAAAGCUCACAGUGUUUGUUUUACUAAUUCGGAGAGAAGAAAAGAUCACAGAUUAUUUCUCAGUUGGAAGAAAAGGGCAUCUUUCAAACAAGAAGAUGGCUUUGGCUGCCCUUGUGGACCUGUGCUUCUCUGUCUGGGCACUGCCUGUUUCUGGAAGGUGUUUCCUCUCAGCCCGGAGUUAUAGGUACAAGAGCACGCAAGAGAGCAGACAGGUAAAAAAAAAAUCGCGUACUAUCUAAUUGUAAACUGUGGUCAAUGUUAUGCCAUUUUCUAUGAACAAUUGUUAUUAAUACUAUGGUAAAGGUCAGUCUCAUCCAAAUAUCAAAUUUAUAUUUUAAGUCUUCACAGGUAGGAAUAAUUGCCACUGAUACCUAGUUUCUGAUUUAUUUAUUUAUUUGAGACAGAGUCUCAUUCUGUCACCCAGUCUGGUGUGAUCAGGGCUCACUGCAACCUCCGCCUCCCGGGGUCAAGUGAUUCUCCUGCCUCAGCCUCCCAAGUAGCUGGGAUUACAGGCCCGCCACCAUGCCCACCUAAUUUUUGUAUUUUUAGUAGAGAUGGGGUUUCACCAUGUUGAUCAGGCUGGUCUUGAAUCCCUGACCUCGUGAUCUUCCCACUUAGGCCUCCCAGUGUUGGGAUUAAAAGGCGUGAGCCCGCACCGGGCCCCUAGUUUCUUAUUACAGCUAAAUUCUAUUUUUGUGGCAUGAGUUUGAUACGAAGGUUGAAAUUCCAUAAAAACAGAAAGUGGUGAUCAGGCCUAAGAAAAUACUGCAGCAGCUGGAAAAGUUCAAGGAUGCGCCAGGGUGCACCGUGGAACCGGUCUCUUUGUUAGAGGAGAGGAAAUCUCCACCUGUCAUGAAAUGCGGGGAGGAGGUGGGUAGAGUAGAAAUAGUGAGACAGGGACAUUUGAGUAAGUGCCUGGGCACCCUGCUAGAUUCACAUUUGGAGGAAAGAAUACUACUCAUUUGACAAUAUUGCUAAUCAGAAAUUCACUCCUGUUCAGUGGAAUUGUACACACCUAAAGAAGAGUUAAGCCACUACAGGUGACGGGGUUUAUAAGAGGUCCCCAGAGGCAGGGGUUGGGCCCGUUUGAAACAGGCGUAUGGCAGCAGUUAUUUGUCUUGCAUUAAGAGAAUGUUCUGUUAAAUGUGAUGUGAAUAUAUCAUAUUUCUCUUAGAGCAGGCUGUGAAUUGCAGAUGUCAUCUAACUAAUUCUCACAGCAUCCCUGGAAAGCAGGACAUGAAUGGGAAAUUGUUUCAUUCAUCUGUGUCUGGCAACGUUUAUGAAUUAUUAACAGGAGAAUGUGAAUUUCCCCAGGGGGAAAAAAAACUACACCGCAAAGGUAAGGGAAUUGUAAGGAAGAAUUAGCAGAUGUUAGAAAAGGGUGGAGUAGUAAAUAAUGAUGUGAAAUUCAAAUUUGAAGAAAGAAGAUUUUGAGAGAACCUGACAGAGGGGUCUUAUUGGGGGUGAAGCAGAAAUCUCGGAUGCUUUGAUGUGGAGAGAGAGGAAGAGGAUGGGCAAUUAUGAUAAUUCUUACACAGUUAGGCAUUCUUUACACAGAAAAGUUGCAGUUCCCUGAGACUGGUUGAAGACUCAAGUCCUGUUUUGUUGUUGUUGCUGUUUUUGAGACAAAGUCUCCUGUGUCACCCAGGCCAGAGUGCAAUGGUGCAAUCACCGCUCACUGCAGCCUCAACCUCCUGGCCGCAAGUUAUCCUCUCGUCUCAACCUCCUGAGUAGCCAGGACUACAGCUAUGUAUCACCAUGCCCAGUUAAUUUUUUAAAUUUUUUGUAGAGACAGGGUCUCACUGUGUUAUCCAGGCUGGUCUCAAACUCCUGGGCUCAAGCAAUCUACCCACCUUGGCCUCCCAAAGUGCUGGGAUUACAAGUGUGAGCCACUGCCCCUGGCCAAGUUCUGUUUUUAAUAGAAACACUUCCCUAUUUAUUAAAACAAUGGCUACCAUGCAGUAGUAGGUACUCAUGAAGCACCCGAGAGGCUUACUGCCUGUAGUCUUUUCAACAACUUGAUGACACCUCAUUCAUUAUUCUUGUCUAACAAUGAGGGCCUCAUUGCUGAAUGGCUUUUUUUUUUUUUUUUUUUUUUGGACAUGGUCUCCCUCUGUUGCCCAGGCUGGAGUGCAAUGGCCCGAUUUUGGCUCACUGCAACCUCUGCCUCCUGGACUCCAGCGAUCCUCCCAUCUUAGCCUCCUCCUGAGUACCUGAGAUUACAAGUGUGUGUCACCACACCCACCUAAUUUUUUGUAUUUUAGUAGAGACAGGGUUUCACCAUGUUGGCCAGGCUGGUCUCAAACUCCUGAUCUCAAAUGAUCCAUGCACCUCAGCCUUCCAAAGUGCUGGGAUUACAGGUGUGAGCCACCACACAUGGCCCUGAACGGCUUUCUGAAGUCACAGGGGUGGUAAAAGUCAGGGCCAGACAUCAGACCCACUCCUGCCUGCUGGCAAAGCCCCUGCUUGUGCCCGCGGCGUCACGCAGCCUUCUCUCGAGGCGGUGGGGUCGUAGCAAGAGGGAAACAAUGGUCACAUUUCUAAGGGGUGAAUGAGAAAAACUAAAGGUUUCUAAACCUUUGAAUCAAACAUAGGCAUUGUUCUGAGCAAAAGAAUGAGAUGAAGAAGAGAGAAAAUAUUCCAUGUGCAAUCAAAAUACCUUGUGUUACUCUUUCCUCCUUCAACUGCAAGGGCGUGGUGUGCAGUAAUUGUCUCUAAGGCCGUGUGUCAAUGGGGAGCCGGCGUGCUCAGGCAGUGUCUUCCCGUAGACUGUCCUCGUGAUGUCACCCCUCCCGGCAUCCCCAGUGCUCACCUGGUCACCAACAUGGUCGACAUUACUUGUCUUGGUCAGCCACUGUGCUGAGAGCAAGAAGGAACCCUCUCCCACCAGCAACCAACUCUUUUUUUUUAUUUUUUAUUUUUUAAGAUGGAGUCUCGCUCUGUCGCCCAGGCUGGAGUGCAGUGGCAAGAUCUCGGCUCACUGCAACCUCUGUCUCCUGGGUUCAAGUGAUUCUCCUUCCCCAGCCUCCUGAGUGGCUGGGAUUACAGGCAUGAGCAACCAUGUCUGGCUAAUUUUUGUAUUUUUUGGUAGAAACGGCAUUUCACCAUGUUGGCCAGACUAGUCUCAAACUCCUGACCUCAAGUGAUCUGCCCGCCUCAGCCUCCCAAAAUGCUGAGAUUACAGGCGUGAACCACCGUGCCUGGCCUGAUUCUUUUACAAAGAUAUUCCCAAUCUGUUUCUCACAAAGCCUCCAAGUAAGCACUCUGUGGACUCACAAAUUCAGGUAUCACAGUCUUCCUCUUCAGAGAGACUUGGCCCAAGCUGCCAAUGGGGUUGACUCAGAAGGCAACUCAAGUGUGUCCCUGCAUGUAGUAUCCACCAGCACCCCUUCCUGCAAAUGUCCCAUUCAGGUUUCUCCCAUCAGAAGAAGUGCUUCUCCUGAGCGCUGCCCUGCCCGGAGCUUCGGGGGUGGCUCUCACCUCAGAGUCUAGGUCCUGCUACAGGGCUUGACUCAUGUUCCUCCAUUGUCGUUUUGUGCACGCUCCUCAGGUCUUUAUGAAAAGCAGAACUUCCAGCAGCCUGUCUCUGCAGGCCUUAAGUUCAGAUAUGUGAAUCCCAACACUGACACUUGCUAGCUGCAAGAUUUGGGAAAAGUUACUUUAAAACAAACAAACAAACAACUUGUAAAGUCUUUUUUUUAUCUGUUCUAUGAGGAUACUGACAACUACCUGAAAAGCAACUUGAAUGGAAAACUUUGACUCAUUUUUUUCCAGCAGCCCCAUGAAGGACAAAGAGAUAAAGAACAAGAAGUCAAACUCGCUUGGGAGGUUUCUUUUAUAAACGAACUUUUAGAACGCACCUAUUCCAUUUUUACAGAUUCAGCCUGGUUUCAUGUGCCUCCAGCUCUUACAGUUGUGGAGAGUUUGAGGUUGAUGGAAAUGCUUUCACAGAGGAUUUUUGUAAUCUUCACAUAAUCCUGAGAAGUAGGUAGGUUUGCAUCUUAUUCUCACUUUUCAGAGGAGGAAACAGACUUAGAGAAUUUUGAAUUUUGUUUUUAAAGCAAUUUGCCUGGAAUCUCCCAGCUCCUAAGUAGAGCCAAUCCUGAAACCCACGUCUUCUGGCUCUAAUCCUCAGCCCUUCUCCCAGGAUCCACAGCACUGAGGUCACCGAUGACCCCCAUGAUAAUCUAAAUAAUGACUCUGAGGCUGGACAAGAUGCCAAAUCUUCAAAGAGAGAGUCUAUUUGAUCAUUCCAUUGCACCAGCAAAGUGGGUUUGAAAUCUGUAGAGAGAUUUCUUUUUCCCCAAUAAUAGCAGAUGAAACAAUACUGGUUACAGAACAUUCCAUUUCCUAAGCAUUCCCAUUUUAAGUCUAUGUCCCAGUCAUUAACAGGGCCAUACAUAGAUUCACCAUUUGAAGGAAGGAAUAGAAAAGCUGUCACAGAAACUUAAAACAGCCUAUAGCAGGAAAUGAGGAAAAAACACCAUAUAUUGUAAUUCUGUUUCUGUCUCCAAGGAGC
ensembl:lncRNA